rnacentral:rRNA from 1 species
CCUACGGGAGGCAGCAGUGGGGGAUAUUGCACAAUGGAGGAAACCCUGAUGCAGCGACGCCGCGUGGACGAAGAAGUAUUUCUGUAUUUAAAGCCCUAUCAGCAGGGAGGAAGAAAUGACGGUACCUGAGUAAGAAGCACCGGCUAAAUACGUGCCAGCAGCCGCGGUAAUACGUAUGGUGCAAGCGUUAUCCGGAUUUACUGGGUGUAACGGGAGCGCAGGCGGCACGGCAAGACGGAGGUGAAAGCCCGCGGCGCAACCGCGGGACUGCAUUGGGAACUCCAGGGCUGGAGUGCCGGAGAGGUAGGCGGAAUUCCUAGUGUAGCGGUGAAAUGCGUAGAUAUUAGGAGGAACACCAGUGGCGAAGGCGGCCUACUGGACGGUGACUGACGCUGAGGCUCGAAAGCGUGGGGAGCAAACAGGAUUAGAUACCCUGGUAGUC